AUGGGACGACGCGCGUGGCCAACGUCAACUUCGGCUGCUCCACGAACUUCGUCGGCGCGAUCGUCGGGGACGGCCUCGUCGGCCUCGGCGGCGGCGACCUCUCCCUCGUCAGUCAGCUCGGCGCAGACACCUCGCUCGGCCGGAGGUUCUCGUACUGCCUCGUGCCCUACUCCGUCAAGGCCUCCUCCGCGCUCAACUUCGGCCCCCGGGCCGCCGUCACGGAUCCGGGAGCGGCGACGACACCGCUGA
rnacentral:rRNA from 1 species